GACGAACGCUGGCGGCGUGCUUAACACAUGCAAGUCGAACGGAAAGGCCUCUUUCGGGGGGUACUCGAGUGGCGAACGGGUGAGUAACACGUGAGUAACCUGCCCUUGACUUUGGGAUAACUUCAGGAAACUGGGGCUAAUACCGGAUAGGAGCUCCUGCUGCAUGGUGGGGGUUGGAAAGUUUCGGCGGUUGGGGAUGGACUCGCGGCUUAUCAGCUUGUUGGUGGGGUAGUGGCUUACCAUGGCUUUGACGGGUAGCCGGCCUGAGAGGGUGACCGGCCACAUUGGGACUGAGAUACGGCCCAGACUCCUACGGGAGGCAGCAGUGGGGAAUAUUGCACAAUGGGUGGAAGCCUGAUGCAGCAACGCCGUGUGCGGGAUGACGGCCUUCGGGUUGUAAACCGCUUUCGCUCAUGACGAAGCUUUGUGUGACGGUAGUGGGUAAAGAAGCACCGGCUAACUACGUG
rnacentral:rRNA from 1 species